rnacentral:tRNA from 1 species
GGCUGCGUAGCUCAGUGGUAGAGCAUUCGUUUCAUAAGCGAGUGGUCACAGGUUCGAAUCCUGUCGCAGCCACUA